GACACAGGGAGGUGACAUGGGGACAGGGACACAGGGACACGGGGAGGGGACAUGGGGGGGUCACAGGGUGGGGACAGGGGGUCACAGUCGCGGUGUGGCGAUGUCACGGUGCCGCGGUGUCACCGUCACUCACAGUUUCGUCCUUCCCCUCCCCCCCCCCCCGAUAAUUAAUUAAUUAAUUCAUUAAUUAAAAACCUCGUCAGCAGCGCGGGGUGGGGGAGGGGACGCGGGGACAGCGGAUGGUGCCAGCCCAUCCCCACGGGGGGGAGGGGACAGGAGUGUCCCCAAGAGCCGGGGUGUCACCCCCCGAGGCCGGGGGGAGGGGACAGGAGUGUCCCCAAGAGCCGGCGCGGUGUCCUCGGGGGGCUGGGGGGAGGGGACAGGAGUGUCCCCAAGAGCCAGCGCGGUGUCCUUGGGGGGCUGGGGGGGUCACAGUGUCACCCUCGGGGACCGGGCGUGGCCUCCGUGGCGGUGGGGUCACCGUGAGGGUCACCUGUGGGGUCACGGGGUCACCAGCGGGGUCACGAGGUCACCUGUGAGGUCACAGUGCCACCCAUGGGGUCCACAGUGCCACCUGUGAGGUCACGAGGUCACCUGUGAGGUCACAGUGCCACCCACGGGGUCACCUGCAGGGUCACAGUGCCACCUCUGACGUCACCUGUGAGGUCACAGUGUCACCCUUGGGGACCGGGCGUGGCCUCCGUGGCGGUGGGGGUCACUCAUGGGGUCACUCAUGGGGUCACCCCUGGGGUCACCCCUGGGGUCACAGGGUCACCCACAAGGUCACAGUGCCACCCAUGGGGACGCUGGGGUCACCCAUGGGGUUGUGGUGUCACCCACAGCGAUGUGGGGGUCACCCACGGGGUCACAGUGUCACCCACAGGGUCAUGAGGUCACCCACAGGGUCACAGUGUCACCCAUGGGGUCACGGUGUCACCCAUGGGGUCACAGGGCCACCCAUGGGGUCAGCUGCAGGGUCACAGUGUCACCCACAGGGUCACAGUGUCACCCACAGGGUCACAGGGCCACCCGUGGGGUCACAGUGUCACCCACAGGGUCAUGGGGUCACC